rnacentral:tRNA from 1 species
GGGGUUGGGGCUCAGUGGUAGAGCAUGCAUCUCGCAUAUGGGAGGCACUGGGUUCCAUCCUCAGCACCACUU